rnacentral:misc_RNA from 1 species
AUGGUCACACUAGUAAGCGUGGUGGAAGUUGGAAAAAAAUAUAAAAAGCACAUGUCUUUAAGUUUUAGUUAUAUAUUGUUUUAAAAGCUUAUUACAUGGUGUCGAGCACUAUCAGAGUUGGAUUGCUCAAUAUUGGCACAAGAAUGGCCAAAGUGGAAACAAAGCUUAUGUACAUGCACAUGUUGACUGGUCUGGAAAAGAUGCGGAUCCAGAGCCUAUGAAGAUAGCCACUUUCUUGUGGUUGGCGGGUUCUAAAGCAACGGGAAUCUACAAAGCAAAGUUUCCCAACGAUGGACAACAAACAGUAUGUUAGGAACUGCAGCAACGUCAGCAGACCCUUCAUCAUCAACUGUGCAAGCUGUUGGUCGCCCACUGGACGAUGUACUGACAGCAUUCGACAAACGUAGUAUUCCAUUUCGAAAUACUACAAUGGAAACCUAUAAAUUCAAUAAUAUUAAACAGGCAGAUGGACAGCCUUGUAUUGAAUUCGAAAUGCAACUAUGCAAGCAAAUACAGUCAUGCGAUUUUGAGGGUACCUGUGGCCAAAAGUACGAAGAAAGAAUGCUAAUGGAUCGUACCAUUAUUGGCAUAAACGAUAAAAGGCUACAACUAAAGGUUCAAGAGUCAAAAAAUAAGAAGCUAGAGGAUGUACUAAACGAGUGCAAAGCCUAUGAAGCUGCUACGGAAAAGAACGCGAUUAUACAAAAUCGGCUACGUGUUUUGUUGGAGAGCAGUACCAUCAAUGCUGUUGCUCGAAAAUGCUUUAAUUGUGGAGCUAUAUUUAACCCAAAUCAUCUGGUCGAGUGCCGCGGCAAGGAGGCGACAUGUUGUCAAAAACUGGGACAAUUUGCGAGAUACUGUAAGCAGCAGAAAAAAACGGGGUAAAAAACAAUCCUCAAUUCCUUCAAUUAAUUGGCUAGAGUCAGCUUUAGAAUAACUGAAUGCAGACGAAGUGGUGAACGGUGGACGAAAACCUUUCGAAUAAAUGGAGUAAAUAUUAAAUUUAAGAUCUUUUGCCAAUGAGUUUAAUGCAGCGCUCCAGUUUUCAAGCCCUAAUUAUCCUCAGAGCAAUGGAUUGGCAGAAAAAGAAGUGACAAUAGCAAAAAAUAUCCUAAAACGUUGCUCACAAGUAAAUGAUUAUAUAUAUAGGAUCCUUGAAUACAACGCUACCCCAGUAGCAAAUUUAGAUCCAGCACCAUGCGAAUUAUUCUUUGGAAGAAUGUGCAAGACCAUAUUACCAAUAAAGACUGCAUUAUAUGGAAAUAAAAUUAAUGAAGAAAUAAUCUCACGGAAGUUUAUCGAAAAAAAAAGGAAACAAAAAAAUAUUACGACAUGCACUUAAGAAGCCUGCACUCAAGUCCAUUUAUUAAAGGUGAUAGGGUUCAAUUUAGAAAAAAAAAAUGAAUGGGUUAAAGGAGUAGUCAAAAAAAGAGUAAACGAAAGGUCUUAUAUCAUAAGGGAUGAUUUUAAUAGCCAUUUUAGAAGAAAUAAAAGACUUAUGAAUAAAAUAAGUGGAGGAAACGCCUGUGAAGAUAUUGACUAUUUUCAUGAUUUUAUAAGUACAAACUUAAGUGAAAACAAAGAGAUUCCAAAAACUUAUAGUAAUUUAAGACAACAAGAAAAUGGUGUUAAAUUAAGUGAGACUGAGAAUAUUAUUAAUGAAAGUAUUGAAAAUGAAUUGAAUUGUGAAGAAAUUGAAAAUGAAGACGAAAUUGUAGACGUAAUUGAAAACACUAUUGUCAAUGAGGACGGAGGUGAUGUAUCUAAUUAUGAAACAGCUGGAAGCUCCAGUUCAGAGGACGAGACUAAAAUAGGAACCCAAACACAAGUUUCGCGAUCUGGAAGAAAAGAUACGGAUGGAAUUGAGUUAACUAAAACUAAAAAAAAA